rnacentral:rRNA from 1 species
CACGUAGGGCGCGAGCGUUGUCCGGAAUUAUUGGGCGUAAAGAGCUCGUAGGCGGUUUGUCGCGUCUGCUGUGAAAACCCGAGGCUCAACCUCGGGCCUGCAGUGGGGUACGGGCAGACUAGAGUGCGGUAGGGGAGAUUGGAAUUCCUGGUGUAGCGGUGGAAUGCGCAGAUAUCAGGAGGAACACCAAUGGCGAAGGCAGAUCUCUGGGCCGUAACUGACGCUGGAGGAGCGAAAGCAUGGGGAGCGAACAGG